AGGAAAAUACCAUUCACUUUGACAGAGAGGCACUGAAAUGAAAGCCUGAGGCAGCUCAAAGAAGUGGAGCCUGAAAUUCAGAUUGCCCUCAUUUUAUUAAAGCAAAAUUACCUUUUUCCCCAGGUACUUUCUGUGACACUUCCAUUGCUAGCUGGCUGUCGCCAAUUCCUCCCUAUCCUUCCAGAUCUUUUGCAGCUUUCCUUCAAGUAAUAUGGCAAGCAAACAACCCCAGCUGUUGUUGGUGCUUUUUAGGAGUCAUUGUUGAUGCAGCAGAUGCUGAAAGAGCUGUGUUUCUAAACGCAACACCUGCUGCUGAACCUGAAUCUCCAAGCCACAGCAUUGAAAGAUCAACUGAGCAG
ensembl:lncRNA